CGGACAGCUCCGUGUUGCCAUCCAACCCCCCGACCCGAUGGCAACACGGAGCUUCCCA
rnacentral:sRNA from 1 species